ensembl:lncRNA
GCACAGCAUAUAGGAUCUAUGGGGGAACUGAGCCACAGUGUAUGGGAUCAGUGGGGAAACUGAGGCACGGCAUAUGGGAUCAAUGGGGAAAGCGAAGUGCAACAUAUGGGAUCUAUGGGGAAACUGAGGCACAGCAUAUGGGGUCUAUGGGGGAAACUGAGCCACAGUGUAUAGGAUCUGUAGGGAAACUGAGGCACAGCAUAUGGGAUCCAUGGGGCACAGUGUAUGGGAUCUAUGGGGGAACUUAGAUACAGCAUAUGGGGUCUAUGGGGAACUGAGGCACAGUAUAUGGGAUCUGUGGGAACACUGAGGGACAGAAUAUGGGAUCAGUGAGGAAACCGAGGCAUGGCAUAUGGGAUCUAUGGGGGAAACUGAGGGACAGAAUAUGGGAUCAAUGGGGGAACUGAGGGACAGCAUGUGGGAUCUAUGGGG